GGCCGGAUCUAGUACCAAAUUUAAAGUACAAAACCAUUGAAAGUGUUGUAGUAGUUAUUAUUUAAUUGCUGUUCAAAAAGUGAUUAUUUAAUCAAUUAAACUAUAGGGCAUUGUGGAUAACCAUAAACACAAGCUAAGUGGGGGUUAUUGGUUGGUGUAUUUUGAUGGAUUUGAAAAUCCAAACUAAAUCUAGUGUUAUUGGUUCUGUGAUUUUAAAAUAUGUAUUGAAAUCAUGUGUUAUUCGUUUAAUGAUUCAUAAAUUCUAAUUCAAAUCAAGUGUUAUUCAAUCAUACGGAUUUACUAAUAGAUUUGAUUUCAUAAUGUAUUUAAAUGGAUUUGCAUAGAUUUUUUUGUUAAAAAUACAAAGGCUCAAAUCCGAGGGAAAACCUCCGGAUUUGUAAAUACUAAUCCGAGAGAAUUUACAAAUUUGUAUAUUUUACUUGGAUUUAUAAAUACUGUAUGGAUUUCUAAAUCAAUCAAAAUAUAUAAACCAAUAACGCCUCCUAAGUCGUUGAUACAUUA
rnacentral:lncRNA from 1 species